GGUCAGGAAGGCAGCAGUGGCCAAGGUGGCGAGCUCUGUGCAUAU
rnacentral:SRP_RNA from 15 species